rnacentral:rRNA from 1 species
CCUACGGGAGGCAGCAGUGAGGAAUAUUGGUCAAUGGACGAAAGUCUGAACCAGCCAUGCCGCGUGCAGGAAGAAGGCUCUAUGAGUUGUAAACUGCUGUUGUAUGAGGGUAAACUUGAAUACGUGUAUUCCGCUGAAAGUACCCUACGAAUAAGGUUCGGCUAACUCCGUGCAAGCAGCCGCGGUAAUACGGAGGAUCCAAGCGUUAGCCGGACUUAUUGGGUUUAAAGGGCGCGUAGGGGGAUUGUUAAGUUAGUGGUGAAAGGUCGGGGCUCAACUUGAAAAUUGCAGCUGAAACUGGUAGUCUAGAGUAAAGGAGGGGUAGGCGGAAUGCGUGGUGUAGCGGUGAAAUGCUUAGAUAUCAUGAGGAACACCGAUUGCGAAGGCAGGUUACCGGACUGUAACUGACGCUGAGGCACGAAAGUGUGGGGAGCAAACAGGAUUAGAUACCCGAGUAGUC